rnacentral:lncRNA from 1 species
UUGUACUUGCCUGGAGCUCUGAGGUUGAUAGGCACGAUGGAGCUUCUAUUGAAUGUUUAAGGCCUUACUGACUGACUGAGCUAUAGGCGACGUGAAGGCUGUUCUAUUAUCAGACUUUAUGGCAGCAGGCAGCCUAUACUGAACGAUGAUUUCAUUGUGUAAAAACUUAACUACUGUGUUGGUGGUUUCGUUUUCGGUAGCAAAUGCCUUAGUCUAUCUGGAGAAGGUGUCUACUAGUACUAGAAGGCAUUUGUACUUAGCCUGGUGUGGUUUGACUUCUGUAAAGUCAAUUUCUUACUUUUUUCUUGGCGAGGUUUUUCAGAGACAGUGGCCUGGGCUGGGUUUAGGACUUUGUUUGGCAUUUACUUGGGCGCAGGUUGUGAACUGGAGAGCUGCUUAAUCUGUUAGGCUUUGAAGACGGGGGAUCUUAAAAUGGCUCCGCAGGAGCUGAGGUAGCUUUGCUCUUUUUAAGUGGGUGGUAGACUGUAGGUGACGGACUAAAUUUUCUUUAAGGGUUCAGGAUAUGAAGCGUCUAGAGUCAGGAAGAAUCUACUAACUUUCCUGAUUUUUAUUGACUCUGAGAUCUGAAGCCAGUUUUUUGUUGUUGUUGUUGAGUGUACGGGAUUGUCAGGCAGAUCUGGCUGUGGAAAGGAGACUGUGGGCAGCAAGUUUAGAGGCGUGACUGAAAGUCUCGCUGCGACCUGAGCUGCUGAAUCAGGUUUCUGGUUACUAUGGGCAACGGCCGUGUUUUCUUUUUGAUGUCCUUUGCAGUGGAUCACAGCUACCUGCUGAGACAGACAAGGAGAGGGUUUCCUGUGAUGGGAUCAGUCAGAUGCCUGCCUGGCCACUCCCCCUGAGGGGACCUGGGCUCCUCUUACCAUUGGCAGGCCGGUAUAAACUUGCGGCUCAGAUCAAGCUAUGCCUGAUGCUGCCUUAAGCCUUAUGAGGUCGCCAAGGAACCGCAGGUGAGGAUUCAGGAGAUAAUUCUGCAAACAGAACUUCCUGAGAACUGAGAUGGGGGAAAUCGCUGGUAUUAGAAGAGUGAAAAGAAACUCCUGGAGGGCAGAGGCAUGCCUGCCAUCUUCAUCAAUGCAUUACCACCACCCAACACUAUCGGGGGACCUGCCCUGAUAAUCAGCAUGUAAGGAGGCUUAACACAACUCUGUAUGGGAACAGUCAGGUUGGAGUCUACAGGUGAAUCCAGCAGCUCCAGAGAGACAGCGACCAGCGAGAAGGGGCCAUGAUGAUGGUGGUGGUUUUGUCAAAACGAAAAGGGGGAUA